AAAAACAAGAAACAUUUGUCUCAUUUUUGCUGCUUUUAAAGCUAGUGCUUGUUUGGUUAGAAACUACUGGGACAAACAUAAUGUUCUCCUGCUACUGCGUCUCAAAAUGUAUUGAUUGGGGAAAGAAGCCACUGACAAAUCCGUGUAGUUCAGUUUCCACCUAUGUUUAUAGGUGUUAUUUAACAUUCCAACAUAUCACUCAGGGAUUUUUUCAAUAUAUGUAGUGAAGACAUUUCUAAACCCUUUUUUUCAGAGCUGAGUAUCAAACCUAGGCUCUUGCGUUAUGAUAGGCAAGCACUCGGCCCCUGAACUAUAGUCUCCGACCCUUACUUUUAUUUCUUGAGAUAAAGUCCUCACCCACAAUUGAAGGCUUUCCUAGAACUCAAUCUCUAACCCAAGGAUGCUUGAACUCCCAGUCCUUUAAGCUAACCUCUCAAAAAGCUAGCAUUACAAGCCUGUGCACCAGGCCUGGCUUCUCGACUCUUCAUUAAGAGGCUUUUCUAUGGGAGAGCUGGCCCUGCCUCUCAUCAGCUGUGCAGGAACAUGGGCCAGAAGAGGUAUCCCCAUGCCCCAGCCUGGGCAAUUUGGAAGAGUUGUCCCUGCUGGGGUGAGCACUGGAGAGCUGUCGGGCUGAACAACUCAGCUACCACCCAGGCCUAGAUCCAAGGCUUUGAGUUGGCCACCCCAACUGCCACCCCAUCUAUGAACUGUUGGAGCAUGUGAAGGAGCCAGCCCUACAGAUCCAAAGCUGCAUGAUCUCCAUGACACAGGUCAACAACAAGAUAUCCAAGAAGAGUCUCAUAAGGAUGCAGUAUUGAUAGUGUAGCAGAAGCCAGAGGGCUCGAACCUGACCGAUGACUCACUGCAAUGAACAUUUGCAAGUCAAGCUGUUUGGGCAAAACGGUAUACUGUGGAACACACUGUGAAAUGUGCAGCUUUUAUAGUCAGGUGCUUCGUUUUGCUUUUAUAUGUUUUUAUAUUCUAUUUUGUGAGAGAGGUGGCCAGGACAGAGGGCAGGUAUGAAGGUGUGGGUUGAUAAGUGGGACUGGGGUGCUUUUUAACAUGAAUUCUGGAGAUUGGGUUUGGGCUCUCAUGCUUGAAUAGCAAGCCCUUUAUCAACUGAGCAUCUCCCCAGCCCUCCAGUGAGCUUUUCUGAAAAAAAAAACAAAACAAAACAUAUUUUUCACUAUAAGUUCCAGAAAAGAAAACUGAAAUGUCUCUAUUUCUUACUGGACUCAUUUACUUAUAAAAGAGUCAUCAGUAGUUGUUAACAGUGAAGUAUUUUGUCAGCUUAUACCCACUUUGGAUGACUACCUUUCACAGUCAGGAAUACAACCAACCAAAGUCCUGAAACUUAGUUCACUCCUUCACAUAUAAAAUGGGAUAGUCGAUACUAUGGCUACGUCUAGUUACAAGAUUAUUAUAAAGCGGCAAUACACAGAAAUUUUCAGAUGAAAAGUUUCUUCUGGCUCUCUGCCAGGCAUGUGACUACCACUUUUACAGAAUGCUUCACUUAUUUCUCAUAAUAGUCCUGGAACAUGAGGACAGUUAUUGGCACGGUCACAUUUAAAAGCCUGAUAGGCAUUUAUUAAGGGUGACGCUGGAACCUGAAGAAGGAGUGCUUUGUCCAAGUAAACAUGGUUAGUUAGAGAUGGAAGUUGGAAACAACCAGAGCUGUCUAAUUGAAGUCCAGGACCCACCAGUCUCUAAGCCAAGCUACUACCCCCAUGUGCAGCUGACCACAUGAAGCUGUAUUGAGAGAGUCGGUCUGGUGGCCAACUCCCCACCACCAAAUACUGUCUGCUUAGAUUGUUCUCCUGAGAAAAGCGAGUUUUCUCUCUCUUAGAGAACUGACUUAGAGGUCACACAUUCUUCUGAUCCCCGAAGUACCUGUGUUUUAACAGCAGAACAUACAAUGCAAGGUACUGAACAAUAAAUCUUAAACGGGGGACAUUACCUGAGAACAGCCCUGCUGCUUCCUUGAAGCCUCUCUAGUCCUGUAGAGUGCUUACCUGUGCGUCCUGGUUGAAACCUGACCCUCUUCUCCCAUUUCAUUAGUUCUUUGAGAAACUCAUACAAUGUAUUUGGAACACAUUCAGCACCUCAGCAGCAUCCCCCUACCCACCCAGCUCUGUGUCUCUUUGUUCUUAACUCUAAGUCCAUCUCAGACAUUCUGUGCUGCCCAUAUACUCUUGGAUUUCCUCUGGAGCAUGGCCUACCUACCAGAGGCCACCCAUUUAAGAACACUGACUCUCCCUCUCCCAGAGUGUAUCAGUUACUAAUCCCUCCUCGGUUAGAGUGAGACUUGGUGGCCACUUUCCUUCCCAGUUCUGGGAUUUCUAUCUAUCCUAAGCUUGUGCAAGUCUUAGGCAUGCUAUCACAAUUACUGUGGGUGUGUAUGUGCAACUGCCCUGCUGCGUCUUGGAAAUAUCAUUUCCUUGUGGUCAUCCACAAUCUCUGGUUCUCGUCAUCUUUCUGCUUCCUCUUGUGAGAUGAUGCCUGAGCCUUGGGAGGAAGGCUCCAUUCUUCAUGUAUACAAACACUGCAUUACUUAAUCCUAUUCAGUUAAUAAUACUGAGUCUAGGAAAAGGACCUUCCUAGCCCAGAUAGUGUUCCUAUAUUUAGAUUUUGAUGCUUUAGUUUAGCAGCCUUCUAAUGUUACCCAUAUGUAUGGAAACAUUGAUCCACUCAGAUCCUUAAAAUAACCAGCGAGAUGCAUCGCCUUCUUCAUCAGGAAUCAAAGGUCUGCUUCUAAGUGUAAUGUCUAACAUUCUCCUGCACCUCUUACAAAAGGACAUUCUUGUCCAUUUCUUUCCAACUCUGGGCUAUCAUUAAAAAAAAAAAUUCAAAAAAAGCCCUGUGGUCGGGUUCCCAAAUUAUGACCAUAACCUUUAGUUAGAAAGAGUCCAGUAUGAUUGCUAAAAGUCCUUUAACAAUCGCCCCCACUGUUUGUGCACCCUAGCAAAAAUCUCAGAGAUUCAGAACUCACCUCAUUGAAGCUACUUCCAGAAAUGUCUUGGAAGACUCAAAUGUCCAAUUUUCUUAUAUAUUAACAAGGUCACUGUAUGCCAAGACAGCCAGUAAUAGCGUAGCCUGUUAAACAAGGUUACCAGUAGUGUAUAUGGUAAUUGGAGAAAUGCGCCCUCUUCAGGCCAAAUGAGAGCACUAACCCUUUCAUAAUGUGGACAUUGCAAUGCCUUCGUUCUUUUGUCCUGAUAAAGGAAGCUCCUUGAAGAUGAAGGGUUGGAGGAGCCACAGGAAGGGCAAGCUGAUCCUAGGAAGCACAGCAGUAGAUCCAAAACUUGGAUGGAAUCUCAGAUCCCACUAACCCCCCCCCAGUCUAUUGCUGAUACAUGAUGCACAAAACUACACAACUGUACUAUGCUCCAGCCACUCAUGGGAUGCCUAUUUACUGAUGGGUGCAGUGAGCAGAAAUAAAGGACAAAUUCUAAUCAUUUGACAUCAUAACUCUAGAUUAGUCUUAAAGAAUAAAAUAUAUUUUUAUGUCUGUCAUUUCUGAACAUUUUUAGCUUGUUUCCUAACUUGCAUUCUACUCAAUUUGAAAAACAUCAAAAUAUCAUAACUCUGCAACAUCGUAACAAUUUUCCUUCUC
rnacentral:lncRNA from 1 species